GCAAGGGAGACUGUUUCAUCUGGGGAGAGCCAGGUUUCUGUGAUGGUGAGGGUGAUGAAUGACUGAGUCAGGAACAGGUCAAACAUGAAGAGGAGCUUUCCCAAGAUGGAACAGGGAAAGAACACAAGGCAGCUUGUGUUAAGGGGAAAAAAAAACACCUAAAAACAACAUAACAACGAGAAGAAGAUUGUCAAAACAAGACUGAAAGGACAAAAUUAUAUGAAAAAUGACUUUGGUCAGUUCCUGUGAAAGACUACUACUGUGAUGUAAAGAAUAUCAGAACAGAGCCAUCAAUUCUUGGCACUGACAGCACUUGGAUGGAAGAUUUAAAGAGUGUUUUCCUGAAGUCAGCAUCUUCAAUUUAGUUUGAGUAGAAUGAGCCGAGUGUGUAGAUUUGUCUGGAAUUGUUCAGAGGAAUUUUACCACUGUCAUUUUGGAGAGCUUAUUAAUAAACUUUAUUACUAUUUUAA